rnacentral:rRNA from 1 species
UACGUAGGGGGCAAGCGUUGUCCGGAUUUAUUGGGCGUAAAGAGCGUGUAGGCGGCCUGAAAGGUCAGCUGUGAAAACUCGAGGCUCAACCUCGAGACGUCGGUUGAAACCAUCUGGCUAGAGUCCGGAAGAGGAGUGUGGAAUUCCCGGUGUAGCGGUGAAAUGCGCAGAUAUCGGGAAGAACACCCGUGGCGAAGGCGGCACUCUGGGACGGUACUGACGCUGAGACGCGAAAGCGUGGGGAGCAAAUGGG